CACGCCGAGCCUCCGCUUCCUGCCGACGUCAAGUGCGUGACUCCUCAGAUCUAAUUUGUAUGGGAGACACUCGCACACUGAAAAACCACCCGAUACAGAACCAAUCAGUCGAUAUAAUCGAGAACAAUCAUCAGAAAUCACGCGAUAUGAAUCAGACAGUUGGGCGCCGCCUGACCCACUAGUUGGUCAGAAGGUUGAAAUCAACGUUUCAUAUCGUAAUUUCCGAGUAGGCAAAAAGUAUCAACCGCGGCUGUUAUUACACCCCAUAUACGUUGGUGGCGGUAAUGACCAUUUUUAUUGUGCUGUAACUAAAACUACAAGAUCUUCUGACGUCCUUUCCCUUCGUCAAAGAUGCCAUCUUUUAGAAGAAAAAGAGCCAGGCUGGUUUACAGAGACCCGACUAGAGGGGUGAUAGCUGGAGCUGGAAUGUCCUCCACCCAACGCCAUCUGUAGUGUAUAUAGAGUUUUGGAGAAGGCUGAGCUAUGGCGCUGUGGGGAUUGUGGCUCAGAUAAAUAUUUCUGUGCCACCUGUGCUGUGAGAACACACAGCACUCCCAACAUUGUCCAACAGUUGGAGUUAUGGAAGGAAGAGCUCAUGACGUCUGGCUGCAGUUUUGCAGCUGUGAGCUGGAACCUGUCACCCUGAUCCGCUACAGACUCUGGCCUGCCCCCCCCUCCACACACACACACACAUCUGCCGCAAACAGCAAUUUCAGUGGACCUCCUGCGCCAGUUUGCAGCCCUGCAGCUGGAGUGUGGGAUGUCUUUGAGGGGGAUUACCUUGGCUUUCCAUACAUCCAAUGCAUGCUGGAAAGUAGUUAUUGUAUUUUAAAUUAGAAAUCAAGUGUUUUUUACUAUGAGGAGUAGUUUUUCUAUUUAUUUUUCAAUCUACAGACAGUUGAGCUCUACCGAAAGCUCACAAAUGAAUCAUUUGAGGAGUUCAAACACUGGCAGUUUGAACGAGAGACUGUCAGGAAGUUGGCACCACUGACCUCGGAUGGAACAAAGUGUCCUCUGUCCACAGGAAAACGGUCAUCAAAUUAUUGCAGUUGAUGGCCUAUUUGGGAAAAAGAUUGUCUGGGACCAGCAUUGAGGAUCCCAAACAUGCUGGGCGGUUCUUUUGUGACCAAGACAAAGUUGACUGCUUUGUAGGAGGAGCAUCAGACACACCAACUGAGGGGUGCCUGGGAUUUCAAGCCGGGGAGGCACUGCAAUCCAAACCCAAAACCCAGAAACUGGACAUAACUGGUGUGUUUGGGAUGGCGUGCAGGCACGAGCAUCCGCUGAAGUUCCUGAACCUGAAGAGAGGAGAGAAGUCACUGAUGGUACCAGGUAUGUGACUGAUAGUGGGCUUGCUGACGGAGAACAGAUGGAGAGGUUGUGGUCCUACCUUAGAAAAUGUGGGAAGAUCACAAAAGAGAUGACACCAUCUCAUCGUGUUGACACCCUCACUGAUGCCCUCAACUACGCAGCCAGGGUCAGGGAGAAGCAAGGUAUAAAUGUAGAACUGGAAAUCAGUUAAGUAUUGAGACGACCCGUUGUUCAGGAUUGUGUUGAAAUCAUUUUGCAAAAAAAAGCGCUGAUGUAUUUUAAACAAUACAUGAAAUGUAUGUUCACCUUCAUAUGUUAUAGCACCAGCAAUACAACUCUGUCGGCAGAAGGUCCUGAAGGAGGAAACCGAGGCAAAGGAGUCCCCUGUAGCUCAGUUGGUAGAGCAUGGCACUUGCAACGCCAAGGUUGUGGGUUCGUUUCCCACGGGGGGCC